ACCGACAUUAUCAACCACUUUAUGAUUCCGCAAAAUCUUAAGAGGAACAAUCAAGGGAUUAGCCAGAAGGUCACUGUAAACACGACCGUGGAACACUUGAACAUCACCAUCAUCAGAGCCAGAGCAAAAUAGUGGAAGGGAAGGAUGAUAUGAGACAUCGCGAAGAGCACGUGAAUGAUAUCGAAGAUUUUUAUAUGGUUUAGAAGAAAAGUCUAAGUCGAACCAACAUAGCCUUUUAUCAUAGGAACCUAUUAUGACAUGGUCCCCACUCGAAUGGACACUUAAACUCGAAACCCAUUUGACACCAGUUAACAAGGUCUUUACAAGCUCUUGCUUAACAAGAUUGUAUAUGCGGACAUAUCGUUGAGUAGCAACCAGAAGAUAAGGCAUAGUAGGGUGAAACGUAACAGCUUGCACAGAACCUUUAGACUUAGAAAAUGGCGAUUGACUUGCACCUCUUGACAACUGAUGAAUAAGAACCGCCUGGCUAGAAGA